UGUGUAGGCGGUCCUCUAAGUUUGGUGUGAAAUCUCCCGGCUCAACUGGGAGGGUGCGCCGAAAACUGGAGGGCUAGAGUGCGGGAUGGGAGAGUGGAAUUCCUGGUGUAGCGGUGAAAUGCGUAGAUAUCAGGAGGAACACCUGUGGUGUAGACGGCUCUCUGGACCGCAACUGACGCUGAGACACGAAAGCGUGGGUAGCAAACAGGAUUAGAUACCCUGGUAGUCCACGCCCUAAACGAUGCAUAUUUGGUGUGGGUCAUUCAUUUGAUCCGUGCCGGAGCUAACGCGUUAAAUAUGCCGCCUGGGGAGUACGGUCGCAAGGCUGAA
rnacentral:rRNA from 1 species